CAUAAUGUAGCUUAAUUAAAGCAUCUGGCCUACACCCAGAAGACUCCACAACUCAACGGACAUUAUGA
rnacentral:tRNA from 1 species